rnacentral:rRNA from 1 species
GAUGAACGCUGGCAGCGUGCCUAAUACAUGCAAGUCGAGCGAACGGACGAGAAGCUUGCUUCUCUGAUGUUAGCGGCGGACGGGUGAGUAACACGUGGAUAACCUACCUAUAGGACUGGGAUAACUUCGGGAAACCGGAGCUAAUACCGGAUAAUAUUUUGAACCGCAUGGUUCAAAAGUGAAAGACGGUCUUGCUGUCACUUAUAGAUGGAUCCGCGCUGCAUUAGCUAGUUGGUAAGGUAACGGCUUACCAAGGCAACGAUGCAUAGCCGACCUGAGAGGGUGAUCGGCCACACUGGAACUGAGACACGGUCCAGACUCCUACGGGAGGCAGCAGUAGGGAAUCUUCCGCAAUGGGCGAAAGCCUGACGGAGCAACGCCGCGUGAGUGAUGAAGGUCUUCGGAUCGUAAAACUCUGUUAUUAGGGAAGAACAUAUGUGUAAGUAACUGUGCACAUCUUGACGGUACCUAAUCAGAAAGCCACGGCUAACUACGUGCCAGCAGCCGCGGUAAUACGUAGGUGGCAAGCGUUAUCCGGAAUUAUUGGGCGUAAAGCGCGCGUAGGCGGUUUUUUAAGUCUGAUGUGAAAGCCCACGGCUCAACCGUGGAGGGUCAUUGGAAACUGGAAAACUUGAGUGCAGAAGAGGAAAGUGGAAUUCCAUGUGUAGCGGUGAAAUGCGCAGAGAUAUGGAGGAACACCAGUGGCGAAGGCGACUUUCUGGUCUGUAACUGACGCUGAUGUGCGAAAGCGUGGGGAUCAAACAGGAUUAGAUACCCUGGUAGUCCACGCCGUAAACGAUGAGUGCUAAGUGUUAGGGGGUUUCCGCCCCUUAGUGCUGCAGCUAACGCAUUAAGCACUCCGCCUGGGGAGUACGACCGCAAGGUUGAAACUCAAAGGAAUUGACGGGGACCCGCACAAGCGGUGGAGCAUGUGGUUUAAUUCGAAGCAACGCGAAGAACCUUACCAAAUCUUGACAUCCUUUGACAACUCUAGAGAUAGAGCCUUCCCCUUCGGGGGACAAAGUGACAGGUGGUGCAUGGUUGUCGUCAGCUCGUGUCGUGAGAUGUUGGGUUAAGUCCCGCAACGAGCGCAACCCUUAAGCUUAGUUGCCAUCAUUAAGUUGGGCACUCCAAGUUGACUGCCGGUGACAAACCGGAGGAAGGUGGGGAUGACGUCAAAUCAUCAUGCCCCUUAUGAUUUGGGCUACACACGUGCUACAAUGGACAAUACAAAGGGCAGCGAAACCGCGAGGUCAAGCAAAUCCCAUAAAGUUGUUCUCAGUUCGGAUUGUAGUCUGCAACUCGACUACAUGAAGCUGGAAUCGCUAGUAAUCGUAGAUCAGCAUGCUACGGUGAAUACGUUCCCGGGUCU